GGCCGUUGUGACGUAGUGGUAACGCUCGCGACUUUGAUUCGUCAGGAUGUGGGUACAAGCCCCGCCACGGUCU